rnacentral:lncRNA from 1 species
AAUCUACGCAGUCCGUUCGGGAACACAUGGUCCUCUAUCAUCCCUUGGAUCUAUCUUAUUUGGGAAAUGAAUCUGGGACGCACGAUCGAAUUGAAUCUAACUGUUUGAUCGCAUUUAAAGAGGGAAUGGAUUUGGGUCGUUCACGUGCGCGAGAUGAGAUUUGAACUAUGGGAUCACCAGACACGCGGAUUGCUCACGUGGCCUCCCACGUGGUGCCAAUGUCACCGGGGUUGCCACAUGGUGUGCUCUGGUUUGUCGGGGUUGCUGAUCAGCUGUCCCCACAUGGCCAAACUUUUUAUUUUUGCGAUUUACCCCCUG